rnacentral:rRNA from 1 species
UACGAAGGGGACUAGCGUUGCUCGGAAUUACUGGGCGUAAAGCGCACGUAGGCGGCUUGUUAAGUCGGGGGUGAAAUCCUGGAGCUCAACUCCAGAACUGCCUUCGAUACUGGCGAGCUCGAGUUCGGGAGAGGUGAGUGGAACUGCGAGUGUAGAGGUGAAAUUCGUAGAUAUUCGCAAGAACACCAGUGGCGAAGGCGGCUCACUGGCCCGAUACUGACGCUGAGGUGCGAAAGCGUGGGGAGCAAACGGG